AUGUCACCUCCCUGUCCUCCUCAUCCCCAUCCUCAUCCUCAUCCUCAUCCCAUCUUGUCUUCAUCCCUUCCUUGUCCCAUCCUCAUCUCUGCCCUGUCCUGCUCUUCACCCUCAUCCCCAUCAUCAUCCUCAUCUUCCUCCUUGUCCCCAUUCCUGUCCCCCCUUCAUCCGCAUCUUCAUCCCCACCCCUGGCCCCACCUUCAUCCACGUCCUCAUCCCCAUCCUUGUCUUCAUCCCUUCCUUGUCCCCAUCCUCAUCCUCCUUCCCAUCCUCCUCCCUGUCCCCCCUCCUGUCCCCAUUUUAUCCCCAAACUCAUCCUCUCUCCAUCCCAAUCCUGACCUGUCCCUGUCCCCACCCCUGUUCCCAUCUUUAUCCACAUCCCUGUUCCUGUCCCCAUCCCCGCGUCCCUCACCCCUGUCCACGUGUCCCCAUCCCUCUUUCUGUCCCCAUCCCUCUUUCUGUCCCCAUCCCUGUGUCCCCAUCCCUGUCCAUGUGUCCCCAUCCCUCUGUCCACGUGUCCCCAUCCCCGCGUCCCUCACCCCUGUCCACGUGUCCCCAUCCCCAUGUCCCCAUCCCUCUUUCUGUCCCCAUCCCUGUGUCCCCACCCCUGUCCAUGUGUCCCCAUCCCCCUGUCUGUGUCCCCAUCCCCCUGUCUGUCCCCAUCCCCCUGUCUGUCCCCAUCCCUGUGUCCCUCUGUGUUCCUGUCCCCGUAUCCCACUCCCCCUUCGCCAUUCCCACGUCCUUUCCGUGUCCCAUCACUGUCCCCCGUGUCCCUGUCACCUGAGGGUCUCCUUCACCACAGCCCGGAGCAGCGGCAGCCGUGCCAGCGCAGCGGCGGUGGCAGCAGCAGUGGCCCUGUCGGUGGUGGCAGUGUCACCGCGGGUGCCCCUGUUGGUGGCAGUGGCAGCCAGCAGCUCGCGGUGCAGGGCCGCCUGCGCCCCCGGGUUCCGCGCCAGCUCGUACAGGCUCCAGGCCAGCGUGCUGGCCACCUGGGGACACGGGGGACAUCAGCGGGACCCACAGUGA
rnacentral:lncRNA from 1 species